AUGAUGGAGUUCAAAAUUAUUACUGUGAAAAUUUUUAAGCAGUCUUCACUAUUUUCAGCUGCUCUACCAAAAUUUAACUGUUCUCCCAGUAAACUGCUCAAGAAGAUGAACUCCAGAAGUGCAUCAAGUGGACACUUAUGGCGUGUCUUAACCGGCACACUACACGGAUCAAACACAGUGCAAACCUCCAAUUUUUUGAGCCACAGUACAAUGAAACCAUAUGGUGAUCAACAUCUGCCAGCGUCGUUCAUUAAGGCUGAAACAUUGGAUGUUCCCCGUCUACUGGGAGUAAGAGGUCCUGACAUAAUGCUGAUGGUAAAACUUGAGAACUAUGACAUAGCUGAAACACCACACAUAAAAUUUUUAAAGGACAAAACUAACAGUUCUACGUCCUAUCUUGUCUCUAUUUGCUGUCUAAUAAGAAAUGCCUUCAAAAACUUCAGCCUCUGGGAUCUAGCAAGUUUGGUAAGCAGUGCGAAAAAGUUUAAACUCGCGAAUUCGCCUGCAGAGGCUACCUCUGUAACAAUAAUUAGGGACGAUGAAAUAGAUCCUUACACAAUGCAGGAGUCAGUCGAUCAAAUUAUCAAUCGCUCGAUGAGACCUGAGAACACACUGAAUUCUCCUGUGGUGCUAUUAAAAAAAACGUCAAGGGCCGACUGUCGUGACGAAGGAGGAAAACAGAGCGACACGGGAAAUGCAAAGGAAUGUGAAGCAGGAGGUGCUUCGAAUUCUGAUAAAAACAAAACCCCCGAGAGAAAAGACGGCACAAAAUCGGACUCAGGCCAUGAGUCGGCUGAGGAUCCAUCACCUUCAAAAUGUGAGCCCGGAUUCUGUCAGUUUCCAAACGAGAAAUUUACACUGAGAUGUCCGAACACCCAGCCACCUGCAAAUUGCUCGAACUGCGGAGCAUUUUCACCUGGUAAAAGCACGGCUUCAGGUGAGAGCUCAUGUUCAAGGAAGCCAUCUUGCUCUUCACCCUCAUCAGGUUGCCAAUCUCCUGGCUCAGGUUCUCUAUCACCUGAGAGAAUCGCAUCAGGUUCAUCAUCAGGAGAAUGCCCUAACAGAUGCUCUCCUCCAGGCACACCUGCAUCUUCUUACUCAGGGUCUCCGAGAUCAAGCUCAACUUAUGGUAGUUGCCGUAGCUGCUUUACACCAGGUUCAUCAGCAGCAUCUGCUAGGUCUCGUUCGUCUGCUAGAAGUUCGAAUUCAAAUAGAUCGGAUGCUUCAUCAGUGAGAAGUAUAGAGGAAAUUCCUAACUUCCCUGAGGAGGGUGGCUGGGCCUCUUUGCCCGACGACAUCGACGCAGGUUUAGAAGAAGAAAUGUGCGAGAGAAAUCGACCCAGAGAUGAUUAUUGGGACCGUUGGAGGCGUCCUGUGCAAUCUCAAUCUUGUAAUCCCCCUCCACAGGCGAGUUACUACCCAAGACUUUACUAUGAAGAAGUAACUUACGAGCCAUCUCCAGAACCAUCUGCACCACGACAGAAAAGUCCCCCCUUCAGAGUAUACGAAGACCCCGAGGGUUAUGAGCCGGCUAGCUCUAUACACCAUUCUCGAACGUCCCGCGGCAUGCCUUCUCCUAUCUCUGUUGAAGGAUCUGCCAGAGUUAAUCCGAUGAGAAGUUAUAACUCUCCGCCUUUGCACGGUCCGGAUUCAAGCACUAGGGCUGUCAGAGUUCGCCGAAGGGUUGAGUACCUUCCACUUGACAACCCUCCACAGCGUACUUCAACUCCUACAACCGCGCCUCAAAAUCUACCUCCCGGUAGAGUGAGAAGAAAUCUUCUUCAUGACUUAUCCGACUCGGAAUCUCCUGUAACAAGUUCCUUGCAUCCCCCAUUCGAAAUUUCUCCUGAACCAUUCAUACCUCGUACUAGAAGAAGAAGCGAAGUCUUAGUUUUUUCAGAUGACGAAGAGGCAGGCCCAUCGUGUAGAUCUUCCACACCUGGAACCACUAGCCGGCGCCGGCGUUCCCCACUUGUUUUCUCGGAGGAUGAGGAGGCAGGUCCAUCAUGUAGGUCUCCCACACCUGGAACCACUAGCUGGGGACGACGUUCCCCACUUGUUUUCUCCGAAGAUGAAGAGACAGGCCCAUCGUGUAGGUCUCCCACACCUGGAACCACUAGCUGGCGACGACAUUCCCCACUUGUUUUCUCCGAAGAUGAAGAGGCAGGCCCAUCACGUAGAUCUCCCACACCUGGUUCAAGACCUCGGCUUGUUUUCUCUCCAGAACCUACAACAACCCCUAGCCGGCAACGACGUUCCCCACUCGUUUUCUCAGAGGAUGAAGAUGAGGACGCGGGGCAGGUGAUGCUCGUCCGUGAGACUGUAACAACUUGCGAUGAAAAUAAUACUUGCGUUGAGGAACAGCGAGAAACCACUGUUAGCAGACGAGAAUUCACUAAUAAUGGAUGUCAUCCGGUCGGAACACCGGUGGUAAAAACUGAAGUGGUGAAAACAAUCCCUGGCGAUGGUAAUGGCUGCAGUCCCUCCGGCUCGGGUAAUCACAAUUCACCACACACUCCUAACUCUGAUGGAAAAAAAAAACUUCGAUAAUUGACCUGGCUGGUUUGCAAAGUGUUGACUUCUAUGUGAGGGAUAGAGAGCAUUUGCGAUCUUAUAAUUUUUGCCGCAGUUGCCUACCUUCAAUUUCUGAUGACUUCAUCUUGCAUCCGUUUACAACAGUAUCAAGCAACAGCAGAGCAAUAGCUGGAAAGCUCAUCUGGGACCAAGCAUUAUUAGUUCUAAAAAAUUAUAUUUUCAACUGCCACGUUAGCCAUAAAAAGAAAUUGCACAAUUGUACUUUUGAUAAUUACACGGUUCCUCUGUUUGCACUUCGUUUGAUUUGUUCUGUAGUGCAAGCAUUAAGUCUACAUUCUGACGAGAGACAAAAAAUGCAGAGGCAAGUUGAAGAGCUGAAAAAUUCGUUUAUGGGAAACUAGGCAAGGUCUGAAGGAGGAGAAAAUGUCACAUGAUUCCUCUUCAUAAUCUCACAUAGAAAACGAAUCACACAACUGUAACCUCGGAAAUUAACUCCUGAACAAGAUUGUAAACAAAAGUUUUUAACACAGAUCAAAUCAAAGUUAGAUCAUACUAAUGAUAUCAGUUGUAUUUAUGCCAUUUACCUUAUGUUAAUUCUAGACGCCUAUAUGUUGUUUAAAGGUUGAUAUCCAGACUUCCUUCCCAUUGUGUGAUUCCUGUUCCUUGUGAAAUUUUUGAGAGGGAACAAGCUACGCAGUACUUUAACUCAUACCUUGUCUAGUGCACUAGUUCGAUAACAACGAGCUUCUGAGGUAAAAUGACACAUCCUCAUUUCUUGUUUCUAUUGUUAAUUUCUUCAUGAGUUUCUUUCCAAGGGGCACACAAUCAUGUUCUCAAAACAGAAGUUUAAAAAACCUAUAUUUCAUUACCAUAACGUAUGACAUGCUACAAAAGUCAACAAUAAAAUUAAAGACAGGAGAAAUGAGCGGAGUAGAAAAAGAAAAAGGAGUAAUGUCGGAAAUUGACAAAAAUUUAUUAUAUAGAAAAAUAAGUAAAGAAGUACUUAAACUAGUUGCGUGGACCACCAUUAGAUGCACCUUCGGUCUUCCCCCGACGGAAAGCUGGAAAAAACAUAACAAGAACAACAUGUUAGAUUUAUUUUGAUCAAUUAAUUUUUACAUUGAUAAAACGCAUUUACAAAGAUUGAAUUCACAUAUGAAAUUUUCUACUGGAUCAAAAAUUUUGGAAAAUGAAACUGUCCUCUGAAAGGACACAAGACAUUUUUUUUUUAGUCCUUCAAAACCUGCAAAGAUUUUAAAUUAUCGUGGCAGUUCUUGGUGUACUUCCAAAAGCCUUUGGUAUAACGAGAAAAAUUGAAUAGUAGAAAAAACUCUCGUGUCAGUUGAUAGAGCUACUGUUGUUACAUUGUAAUCGAGAGUUCUAUGACCGUGAGGCUAUGAAAAUAUAUUCACAUCACAUUACAGCACAAAAAAGAUAGCCCAAAAAACGCUUAUAAACUUAAACAAUUUCAACAGUAGCGGUGUCAUGGAGAUCAUCAUGUCUUACAAUUUGGUAAAUCAUAAUGAACAUAUUGAACACUACAAGAAGGUAACAAUUAAAUCAAUUUGAUUAAAAUGGACCAAAAGAGACAGUAACUUACAUGGGACCCAUUUUUCUGAAGAUAUUUUAACAUCCUUAUUUUCCUUGCCGGGAGGAGGCGGUUCUGGUCUAUUUUCUCUGGGUUCUGGCCUGGCAGGUUCAGGUGGCCCUGUUUUCCGCUGCGGUGGACGGUACACCUGUUUUGGAGGUGGAUCUUGCCUUGGUCCUGAAAAGUAAAAAAUUCUUGUUCAGAUUUAUAGUCAUAAAAUUGAAAACAAAAAAAUCUCUCCUGAAACAAUCCAUUCUUGGCCUUCACUUACAAUUAGAUUAUUUAAUUUGGGAAUAAUUAAUGGCUUGAUUGCUUGAAUAAAAUCAAGUAGUUCAAGUUCCUGCACUAAAAGUUAUUACUAAACAUAUCCUAGCAGGAGGUAAGUAAUGUUCGUCCUGAAAAUCAAGAUCCUCUGUGCUUCCUGGAAGUGAGAAUUGGAGCGCUGAAUUUUUGCUGAUGUAACAAAGUCAAACUAGAAGAAUUUUUCUUAGUCAACACAUACAAUAAAAACUUCAUUCCACGAACUCAAAUUUCUGAGAGAUAUUCCUUCUUCAUCAGCGGUGUUUCCUACUUCCCGCAGCUUUGGCAGAAGGUAAAAUAUUUCCUGAACAUUCUUUAGUCUUCUAUGAGAUUUCUAUUGAUGCUUUAAAUUAGAAAACUUACCAUCACCCGGUCGCCUCAUUCUAUCCAUUUCUGCUUGUUUUAGAAGUUCUUCACGUUUGCGCUCUGCUUCUUCUUCUCGUUGCCGUUGUAGUUCUGCCUUCUUGUCAAGAGCCUCUUUACGUUUUCUGAAAGUGAAAACAGUACAUUGAAACUUUAAGAUUUGUUGAAAAAUAUUUUUAAAAAGGAGAUGUUUUCUAGAAGACUUAUGUUCAGUUAUAUUGAAAUUUUCAUGACAUACAAUUUGGAAAAAUAUGCUGUACUCAUAAAAUCAGAUGAUUUGAAUCUCUGACAUUGAAGAGACACUAAUAAUGAACCACUAGACACGGUUUGAACUAGACAGAAAAGUCACAUGUGUUCUCUUCUAAUUCUGAGAAGAACAGGUCAAAUGGAAGUUAGAUCAUAAAAAUGAGGUCAUUCAAUUUUUGGCAUUCAAAUAAUAAUAAUUGUAAGCACUUAUAUCUUCAUGAGGAGUUGAUUUUCGAACUUCUCGUAAAAUUCGUUAUCCUUGUGAAAAUUUAACAAGAAGACAUGUGUUGCAUUUAAAUUCAUACUUAGUCUAGAGACCCACUCUAGACUCUUUUCAGAAAGUUAAAUAGUAAUUUAAAAAAAAAAAAAAUGGUCAAACUACCGCAGUCUACUUCAAUCUUAUGGACAUUCUACGAAGCGGCUUAUCCAUAAACACAACUACCUCAAAAUAUUGAAGUACCUCAUCAACUCUUGUUUUGUUAGCAGACAGCUAUUGAGCUGUACUUAUAAAUCUGCUAUUGGGUACUGCUUAUAAAUGGAAACCAACGAUCCAUAAAAUCAAGGAAAAUACAUCUCGAUUUAACAAUGCAAAAUAGGUGGUUUGUCUGAUCAAAAGAUUAUAUUAUAUUGCAGUGGUAUUAAUAGGCUUCUAAAUAUUUACUCUGGAGGUAAAUAGAAUAAGUGAGAACAAAAACACACAAACUCGAAAAAAUUAAUCUAAUCAAGACACACCAAAUUGCACAGAGGUUAGUCUAAGAAAGUAUUUUUGGUGCCGAAAUACAAGUACUUAAGGACACUUUAAAGGUCCAAGUUGGAACAAAUGCACUAACUUCAAUGACAUUUGUGAAAAUUGGCUGUCUCUAGUGAAAAUUGAGCAUUUUCAAGUUACCGAGUUGGUGCGUUUUCGUUCUCACAGAUUCAAAUAAUGAAGGAAGUCAUUAGAAAAAAUAUAAACCUGUAUUCUUCAUCCUUCUCUGCCUUGAGUUUAGCUGCCAAUUUUUCUUCUUCCCGUUUUUUGCGCAGCUCUUCUUCUUUACGCUUAGCCUCUUCUUCUUCCUGGCGCCGCUUCUCCUCCUCUAUCAUUCUCUUCUCGUACAGCUCCAUUCGCUCCUUUUUGCGCUGUUCUUUGCGCUCCUGUAGCCGCUUUUUGCGUUCUUCCUCCAACCGUUUCUCGUAUUCUUUCAAUUGUUCCUAAAAACAAAUUAAUGAAUUUAGAUUUCAUCAUUAUUCACACUAAUUACCUUUUCUUCACUGGAUAGUUUGGAGUAGAGACUUGAAGAAAUUACACUUAAGAUUAGGAAAUGUGUUCAUU
rnacentral:lncRNA from 1 species